AGUGAAGGCAGCUGCCUGAUGGCAAUAGACAGCGGAUUAAAUGGUGAUGGAGAAGGUGGGGCACCUGAUCUUUUUUCUCUCAUGGGUGAACAAGCAUCAGGUGCCACCAUGGCUUUGCCUCCAGUGCAGUUAUUCAAGACAGGCUCUCCUCUCUCUACCCUGUUGACCUUCUGAUAUACGAAGACAAUGACUCCGUGGGAACACACAUCCUCCCCCAGUGUGUCAAAAAGACCUCAGGAAAACCAUCACAUCCUGCUAUGCUCCAUCAGAAAUAACCUUCCAUUAUUAGGAGGCAUAUAAAUAAGGAGAAUUAUUUAUGUAUGUUAUUUUUAUAUUGCCCAACAACCAGGGCCUCUGGGAGGCUUACAAGGUAAUAAGGAAUCCAGCCAAGCAGAAACAAAAUGAAAUGAGAGGGGUCAAUUUCCUUCUCCCCUUCCAUCUU